rnacentral:rRNA from 1 species
UACAGAGGGUGCGAGCGUUAAUCGGAAUUACUGGGCGUAAAGCGUGCGUAGGUGGUUUAGUAAGUCAGAUGUGAAAUCCCCGGGCUCAACCUGGGAACUGCAUAUGAAACUAUUAAGCUAGAGUGUGGUAGAGGGAAGUGGAAUUUCCGGUGUAGCGGUGAAAUGCGUAGAUAUCGGAAGGAACAUCAGUGGCGAAGGCGACUUCCUGGACCAUAACUGACACUGAGGCACGAAAGCGUGGGGAGCAAACAGU